CCGCACUCAUCUUCCACACCUCGGGAUCCCCAUCGCUUGAACCAAAUCAAAUCCAUCUCCUCCUCAUUUUCACCACUAACCCAACCAGCGAGCCCCUCCUCCUCUCGAUCUAGAGCCCGAGCGCUCGACCCCCUCAUCCACGAGCUCGAUCAGGAGAGGUGCUCCCGAUCGUGCAAUCCUCCUCCUCAUCCAGGACCACCUCUUCUCGCGGAGUCCAGCCGCCGGACCAGCAGCACCGCCCCGACGCACCUUGACGCCGAGCACCAACAGGAACUGCUCGCCGCCCCUGCUCCUUUUCUUCCCUUCCUUUUCCUCUAACUCCCCUCUCUUUCUCUUAUCUGUCUCACAUCUUCCCCGUGCACAGGAACACCAUGGCCGCCGCCCGUUCUAGCUUCGUCUCGAGCGCCACCAGCAGCAGCAUCAGGCCGUCGCCCUAGUCGUUCCGCAGACAACACCACCAUGGCUGCCCGAACCUGAAGCUUCACCGCUACCUCGUUCCACGCCCCGCCUCCGGCUAGAUUGGAUGUCCCCUGCCUCUAGCGUGUUGCCGUCCAGGACCCCGCAGGCCGCUCCACUCGCCGGAGUUGGAGUCCCGCAGGUCGCGGCUCCUCGACCUCCACUGCGGCCUCCCCUGCCUCCAUGGACGAGUCCAACACCUGCAGCCAUGGGCGCCUCAAGCUAGGGAUUGCCUUGCCGCCCUUGCAACCUUGGCCUCGCCUUCACGCCUCAACCGGCCUCGUCGUUGCCGGGAACCCCAGGCUAGCCGCCGCCGUGCUAAGUCACCUGCUCCACGCCGGGCUCGGCUUCCUCGUCGUCUUCAGCAAACCAGAGCGCCAAAGCCCCCUGCCUCGCCCCGCUUGCCCGCGCCAGUCGCCGCCGAUGACCAUCUCCGGGACCUCCUCGCUGACCCGCCGCUUCCCGCGCCAGCGUCGACCUCCCCUGCUUCCUCCUAACUAGCGUGCGUGCAUUGACUGCACGAGGGCAGCGCCUAGGCCAGCCGCGCCAGUUUCAGUCAAGGCCUGCUAACCCUCCACGGGUCAAAGGCCUGUUGGCCCAAUUUCCGAUAACGUCGCGUUUGUGAGGAUCCGUUCGUCUACGUCCGUUUGU